rnacentral:rRNA from 1 species
CCUACGGGAGGCAGCAGUAGGGAAUCUUCCGCAAUGGACGAAAGUCUGACGGAGCAACGCCGCGUGAACGAUGAAGGCCUUCGGGUCGUAAAGUUCUGUUGUUAGGGAAGAACAAGUGCUAGUUAAAUAAGCUGGCACCUUGACGGUACCUAACCAGAAAGCCACGGCUAACUACGUGCCAGCAGCCGCGGUAAUACGUAGGUGGCAAGCGUUGUCCGGAAUUAUUGGGCGUAAAGCGCGCGCAGGCGGUUUCUUAAGUCUGAUGUGAAAGCCCCCGGCUCAACCGGGGAGGGUCAUUGGAAACUGGGAAACUUGAGUGCAGAAGAGGAAAGUGGAAUUCCAAGUGUAGCGGUGAAAUGCGUAGAGAUUUGGAGGAACACCAGUGGCGAAGGCGACUUUCUGGUCUGUAACUGACGCUGAGGCGCGAAAGCGUGGGGAGCAAACAGGAUUAGGAUACCCUGGUAGUCCACGCUGUAAACGAUGAGUGCUAAGUGUUAGAGGGUUUCCGCCCUUUAGUGCUGAAGUUAACGCAUUAAGCACUCCGCCUGGGGAAGUCGGUCGCAAGCUGAAACUCAAAGGAAUUGACGG